AGUUUCCUGUAAACCUUCUCUGGCUUCUCUCUUGAUUGGAUACUGUUUUACUUGCACUGGGCCUUUCCCUGGUAUGAGCUGAAUAGUAAUAGGGGUCUGGUGGGUGGCCUUUCCUGGAAUCCCUGAUGCCCACACGAGGGGGUACACCUGGUCUUCCCACGGGCUCCAUUCUGGGGCUUGCAUGGCUGAGGGCUCAACUGCAAGGGUCAUGAUCCAUGCAUUCUCAGGGGGUAAGGUAAGGGUUAUUUCGUCCUCAGUAAAAUGCAGGGUGGCACCAAGGCGACAAAGCAGAUCCCGUCCCAGCAGAGGCGUUGGACACUCAGGGAGGUAUACCAGCUUGUGGGAUAUAGUCCUGUCUCCCAAAGCACAUUCCGCUGGGGCAUACACUGGGCACUUGGUGUCCCUGCCUGUGGCUCCCCCUGUUGGGAACACUGGGGCAUGGCCACUAGGUAACUCGAGGGGAUGGAAGACCACGAGUGUCGAUGAAGCCCCCUCGCACUAGGCCCCGGUGUCCUUGCCCCCCCCCCCCCCCUGGAGGCACUUGCAGCAGCUCUGCGUACUAGGCCCAAGUGUCCUUGGCCCCCCCCGCCUGGAGGCACACACAGCAGUUAUGCUGAGAAUCUGCAACAGUAUGUUGCAGAGUCAGACUGCCUGAAACUAAGCAAGGCCAAACAGGGGAGAUAUGGAAGAACAAUGCUGAAUAAAGCAGCUUUAUGUAUAGUUUAACAAAUGAUACAGAGAAUCAGGGAACUAGCUGGGAACUGGAUUGGCUGGCUAUAUGGAUACUUGGAGCAGCUUGCUAUUGGAUAAGUAUGCUGGGAAAAAGGAUGUAUAAAAGCCUGUGUAACUUCCUGCUCUGUUGUACAGGAUUUGAGAUUCAAAUCUCCCUGUACCUUUUUGAAGCUUCAAAUAAACUUUUCUGCUUCUCCACCCCAUUGUGAUUAUUGGGUGCAGCACACCGGGUAACGAACCAACUCAAGCUGUUGUUCAGCCUCUCGGCACUGGGUGCCGGCAACAGCUUUUGGCGUCCCUGGGUGGGCUCGAGGCUGCAAUUUAGCCUUGCCCGGACCCCUCCUGGAGGUCGAGGAUUGCGGCGAGAACCGACGCCCAGCGCGCACCGGUGAGUUCAUCGGGGGCCUUGGAGGAGACGCGAUUUGAUCGACCCCAGAGGGCGCGGUGCCACGCACUCAUAUAGUGGAGAAGCUGUUGUGGAUGGCGGUGAAGAACCGGUCCCUUAGACGUGGGGGAGCAGCAGCUGCAGGCCACGGUGAAGAACUGGUCCCUUGGAUAAGGUAUACCAAGGAUUCCCAGCCUCUCCCCUUGGACUCUCCCAUUCACUCCUUACAGCCCGGUGACUCUGUGCUUGUUCGCACCUGGAAAGACGAGCCUCUCCAGGAAAAGUGGAAAGGACCCUAUACCGUCCUGCUGACCUCCCAUACAGCGGCAAAGAUCGAGGGCCACAAGAACUGGAUCCAUCACUCUCGUCUGAAGGCAGUACCUGCCCCUCGUCAGCAGAACAGUGGACCGUCCAACCUGCUGACUCCUCAUCUAGUGACGAUCUCGGGCUAAAGCUACUGUUUAAAAGACACAAAUAGCGGGCACCUUAAUGCUAAAAUGGGCCCACCCAGGUAUUGGAGACCUUGGGUUGGGAAAACUCUGGUAAUAAUUAAUUGAGUAACAUUGUUAUUCUUUGUAUUGGUAUUUCCAAACUGUGCAUAUCGGGAGCAUAACUCCUUUGUUUUGCUUGCGCACCAUGUUGCUAAUUUAACAAACCAGACUGAUUGCUGGGUAUGUGCUCCAACUCCACUGUCCCCCAAAAUGGGAAUGCCCCUUGACAUGCUGCCCUUGACCCUAGCAGAAUUAGCCACCACCAAAGAGCAGGAAAGAACGAACUCACCGUUCUGGAACAAGACCUCUUUACAGCAAGCCACCUAUCAGGACCAGGAGUAUUCAGUUGCAGUACUCACUGAAGGAGUGUUAUGUUUUACCCGAAACCAAUCUGAUCCCUAUGGGCAUCCUGUGGGAAAGAACUCCUGUGUUAUUACACAGUGGGCUGAUGGGUAUUGGAUAAAGAGCAACAGGGGAGGCCAACGGUGUGGGUGUAAUGGUUCCUCCCCUUUUAGGGAAACACAAAUAAUCUUACCACAAAAAAGGGGUUUGGAAAUGUAACUUGCCAUCCAGUUAAUAUCUCCAAUGUAGCAAGCCAAUGGUGGGUUUGUAGUGGUCCCUAUGGCGAGUGUAAUUUGAACGGCACAAUUAGAAACGCCCCCACUUGUACCCAAUCAGGAGGAUGGGAUGCCCCCUUAGGGGCAUAUGAACUGUUUGGAAAAGCAGCCUUAAAUAUCCCAGGAAUCCCCUUAAGAAACAGUCCUUACUGGGCCCUACAGGGUCACUAUUUUGUAUGUGGCCGAAAGGCUUACAAGGUGCUGCCAGCCAACUGGACAGGUAGCUGUUAUAUAGCUCAUGGAGUUCCUCAUCUUUCCAUAACUGCCACACUGCCCAAAGGAAAGAUUAGAAAUGCCCGAGACACCUCUGUUGAGUCACGAGAAAAGACCCUGCGGCGACUGACUAAGGCAUUGGAGGGCAAUAUGAAGAAUCCCCUCACAACCGAGAAGCUGGUAGGGUGCUCUGUACUGGGAAUAGCACCACUGUUUACCGGGCUAGCCCUGGCAUGCAUAGGCCGCUAUACUGUAAGGCUGCAGAUGGUACUUGAGAAAGUGGCCUUAGAGUUGGAGGACUCGGUUAGUGAUUUAGGGUCAGCAGUAAAAACAUUAAAUAAAGAGGUACAGCAGCUCAGGACGUUUUCCCUCCAAAACAGGCUGGCUUUGGACUAUCUCUUGGCAUCCCAAGGAGGGUUUUGUGCCCUCGUCGGGCCCCGAUGUUGUGUAUAUGUAAAUGAUAGCAGUUAUGAGAUCUAUGAAAAGGUGGUACAGGCUGAGGCCCAUGCCCGAGCCGGAGCACAGGUUGCCUAUACUGCCCCAGAGAACGAUUGGUUGCAAACCUUGUUUUCAGGCUGGGGUUUGUCAUCUUGGCUUGGUGGUUUAUUUAGCCAGCUAUUGAAAUUUCUCUUUCCUGUAUUGCUUGUAUUACUGGUAUUAUGCUGUGCGGUAUCAUGUGUCAGGGCCCUUUUGCAAAAGUUAAUAAGUCCUUCUCUUCAGGGCUAUCACAAAGUGCUUAUGCAAAGUCCUAUUGUAAGGAAAUAAGUAGCUCAAGUGAGAAAACUCAGAGCCAAGGCUGUUGAGUGUUCUCAAAGGGGGAGUUGUUGGGAACACUGGGACAUGGCCACUAGGUAACUCGAGGGGAUGGAAGACCACGAGUGUCGAUGAAGCCCCCUCGCACUAGGCCCCGGUGUCCUUGCCCCCCCCCCCCGCGCCUGGAGGCACUCGCAGCAGCUCUGCGUGCUAGGCCCAAGUGUCCUUGGCCCCCCGCCUGGAGGCACACACAGCAGUUAUGCUGAGAAUCUGCAACAGUAUGUUGCAGAGUCAGACUGCCUGAAACUAAGCAAGGCCAAACAGGGGAGAUAUGGAAGAACAAUGCUGAAUAAAGCAGCUUUAUGUAUGAUUUAACAAAUGAUACAAAGAAUCAUUUCAACAAAAAUGAUUAGGGGGCUGGAACACAUGAGUUAUGAGGAGAGGCUGAGGGAGCUGGGAUUGUUUAGUCUGCGGAAGAGAAGAAUGAGGGGGGAUUUGAUAGCUGCUUUCAACUACCAAAAGGGGGUUCCAAAGAGGAUGGCUCUAGACUGUUCUCAAUGGUAGCAGAUGACAGAACGAGGAGUAAUGGUCUCAAGCUGCAGUGGGGGAGGUUUAGAUUGGAUAUUAGGAAAAACUUUUUCACUAAGAGGGUGGUGAAACACUGGAAUGCGUUACCUAGGGAGGUGGUAGAAUCUCCUUCCUUAGAGGUUUUUAAGGUCAGGCUUGACAAAGCCCUGGCUGGGAUGAUUUAACUGGGAAUUGGUCCUGCUUUGAGCAGGGGGUUGGACUAGAUGACCUUCUGGGGUCCCUUCCAACCCUUAUAUUCUAUGAUUCUAUGAUUCUAUGAAUCAGGGAACUAGCUGGGAACUGGAUUGGCUGGCUAUAUGGAUACUUGGAGCAGCUUGCUAUUGGAUAAGUAUGCUGGGAAAAAGGAUGUAUAAAAGCCUGUGUAACUUCCUGCUCUGUUGUACAGGAUUUGAGAUUCAAAUCUCCCUGUACCUUUUUGAAGCUUCAAAUAAACUUUUCUGCUUCUCCA